rnacentral:rRNA from 1 species
UACGGAGGGUGCAAGCGUUAUCCGGAUUUAUUGGGUUUAAAGGGUGCGUAGGCGGAAUAUUAAGUCAGUGGUGAAAUCUUGCGGCUCAACCGUAACACUGCCAUUGAUACUGAUAUUCUUGAAUGCAGUUGAGGUAGGCGGAAUGUGUAAUGUAGCGGUGAAAUGCUUAGAUAUUACACAGAACACCGAUUGCGAAGGCAGCUUGCUAAACUGUGAUUGACGCUGAUGCA